rnacentral:rRNA from 1 species
UGAGGAGCGAAAGCAUGGGGAGCGAACAGGCUUAGAUACCCUGGUAGUCCAUGCCGUAAACGUUGGGCGCUAGGUGUGGGGUCCUAUCCACGGAUUCCGUGCCGCAGCUAACGCAUUAAGCGCCCCGCCUGGGGAGUACGGCCGCAAGGCUAAAACUCAAAGGAAUUGACGGGGGCCCGCACAAGCGGCGGAGCAUGCGGAUUAAUUCGAUGCAACGCGAAGAACCUUACCAAGGCUUGACAUACGCCGGAAACACUCAGAGAUGGGUGCCCCGCAAGGUCGGUGUACAGGUGGUGCAUGGUUGUCGUCAGCUCGUGUCGUGAGAUGUUGGGUUAAGUCCCGCAACGAGCGCAACCCUCGUUCUAUGUUGCCAGCGGGUCAUGCCGGGGACUCAUAGGAGACUGCCGGGGUCAACUCGGAGGAAGGUGGGGAUGACGUCAAAUCAUCAUGCCCCUUAUGUCUUGGGCUUCACGCAUGCUACAAUGGCCGGUACAAAGGGCUGCGAAACCGUAAGGUGGAGCGAAUCCCAAAAAGCCGGUCUCAGUUCGGAUUGGGGUCUGCAACUCGACCCCAUGAAGUCGGAGUCGCUAGUAAUCGCAGAUCAGCAACGCUGCGGUGAAUACGUUCCCGGGCCUUGUACACACCGCCCGUCACGUCACGAAAGUCGGUAACACCCGAAGCCGGUGGCCCAACCCCUUGUGGGAGGGAGCCGUCGAAGGUGGGACUGGCGAUUGGGACGAAGUCGUAACAAGGUAACC